GCCUUCUUAGCUCAGUGGUAGAGC
rnacentral:siRNA from 1 species